GCUAUGAACGAAAGUUCGACUAAGUUAUAUUAAACUAGGGUUGGUAAAAUUCGUGCCAGCCACCGCGGUCAUACGAUUAACCCAAAUUAAUAAACCCUCCGGCGUAAAGCGUGUCAAAGACCCAUACUAAAAUAAAGUUAAAACCCAGUUAAGCUGUAAAAAGCUACAACUAAAGUAAAAUAAACUACGAAAGUGACUUUAAUACCUCUGACCACACGAUAGCUAAGGCCCAAACUGGGAUUAGAUACCCCACUAUGCUUAGCCCUAAACCAAAAUAGCUCACCAUAACAAAGCU
rnacentral:rRNA from 1 species